AUUUGAUUCCUGUUUGAAGGCUCCCAUGAAAGAAGCUUAAAAUGCAAUGGAGCUUAAAGAGGCACAGUUGCCACCAAAAUGAGUGAGACAUAAAAGUGGGAAGGACAAGCUAAAAUGACAUUGCAGAUCUGAAGACAAUGGAUCCAUAAUGCUGAAGAAAGAUUUCAAACUUGCCACAAUCAACUAUACUAUAUGUGUAUAUUGGUGAAGUAUUUGAUCACUGAGGAUAUAAAGGAGGAGCUAACUGUUGUACAAACAAGAAAUGUGUGCUGGCCUUCCUCCUAGUCAACAACCAGGAGUGUUGCAAAGGCAUUGCUCAAGUUG